CCAGACUCCUACGGGAGGCAGCAGUGGGGAAUAUUGCGCAAUGGGCGAAAGCCUGACGCAGCGACGCCGCGUGGGUGAAGAAGUAUUUCGGUAUGUAAAGCCCUAUCGGCAGGGAAGAAUUUAGACGGUACCUGACUAAGAAGCCCCGGCUAACUACGUGCCAGCAGCCGCGGGAAUACGUAGGGGGCAAGCGUUAUCCGGAUUCACUGGGGGUAAAGGGAGCGUAGACGGCCAUGCAAGCCUGGAGUGAAAGCCCGGGGCCCAACCCCGGGACUGCUCUGGGAACUGUGCGGCUGGAGUGCGGGAGGGGCAGGCGGAAUUCCUGGUGUAGCGGUGAAAUGCGUAGAUAUCAGGAGGAACACCGGCGGCGAAGGCGGCCUGCUGGACCGCGACUGACGUUGAGGCUCGAAAGCGUGGGGAGCGAACAGGAUUAGAUACCCUCGUACAU
rnacentral:rRNA from 1 species